rnacentral:rRNA from 1 species
UUAAGAAAAUAAUUAUUUUAUUUAUUAAUUAAUAUUUUUUUAAUAAAAUUAUUUUUUAUUUUAUUAUAUUUUUAGAAAAAAUUUUUUUAAUUAUAGUAUAAUAGUAUUGUGAAAGAAAUUUAAUUUUUAAUUUAAAGAAGAAUUAAAUUUUUGUACCUUGUGUAUCAGGGUUUAUUAAAUAAAAUUUUUAAAUAAAAAUUUCUCGAAUUUAAAAGAGUUAUAUAAAUAUAAUUUUUAUCGUAGAAAAGAUAUUAUUAAUAUUUAUAUAGAAAUGAAACGUUAGUCGUUUUUAAAUAUAUCUAGUUUUUAAAGAAAAAAAUUUAAUUUUAAUUUUAUUUAAUAAAAAAUUUAUUUUUUAAUAUUUAUUAAUAAAAUUUUAUAUUUUUAGGGAUGAGCUUAAAAAUAAAAUAAUAUAAUUUAAUUUUAAUAUGAUUAAUUUAGUAGAAUUAUAAGUUUUUAUCUAUAAUAGUGUGUUAUAACAAUAUUAUUUAAAAAAAAUAUUUAUAUUAAGUUUAUAUUUUAUAUUUAAAUAUAAAUUAAAAUAAUUUAUAAUUUAGUAAUAAUGAUAAAAUUAGUAUAAAUUAAUGUUAAUAAAAAGUAAUAUUAAAGGUUAAAAAAAGGAAUUCGGCAAAUAUAUUUUUCACCUGUUUAUUAAAAACAUGUCCUUUAAAUUAUAAUUUAAGGUCUAGCCUGCUCUAUGAAUUAUUUUAAAUGGCCGCGGUAUUUUGACUGUGCAAAGGUAGCAUAAUAAUUAGUUUUUUAAUUGAAAGCUGGUAUGAAAGGUUUGAUGAGAAAAUAACUGUCUCUUUUUAAAUUUUUUAGAACUUUAUUUUUAAGUAAAAAAGCUUAAAUAAAUAUAAAAGACGAGAAGACCCUAUAGAGUUUUAUAAUUUUAAAAAAUAAGUUUUUUAGAAUUUUAUAACAUAUUUUUGAAAAAUUAUUUAAUUGGGGUGAUUAAAAAAUUUAAUAAACUUUUUUUUUAUACGAACAUUAAUUUAUGAGUAAUUGAUCCUUUUUUAAAGAUUAAAAGAUUAAAUUACCUUAGGGAUAACAGCGUAAUUUUUUUUAAGAGUUCAAAUCGAAAAAAAAGAUUGCGACCUCGAUGUUGGAUUAAAAUAAAUUUUUGGUGUAGAAGCUAAAAAAAUUAGGUCUGUUCGACCUUUAAAAUUUUACAUGAUCUGAGUUUAAACCGGUGUGAGCCAGGUUGGUUUCUAUCUUUAUAAAAUAGAUAUAUUUUAGUACGAAAGGACCAAAUAUACAAUUUAUAAUUUUUACUUAGAAUAAAAUU